rnacentral:rRNA from 1 species
UACGAAGGGGGCUAGCGUUGCUCGGAAUCACUGGGCUUAAAGGGCGCGUAGGCGGGUUCGCAAGUCGGGGGUGAAAUCUUUCAGCUCAACUGGAAAAGUGCCCCCGAUACUGCGAGUCUCGAGGGAGGUAGGGGCAUGUGGAACUUCCGGUGGAGCGGUGAAAUGCGUAGAUAUCGGAAGGAACGCCGGUGGCGAAGGCGGGAUCUCUGGGCCUUACUGACGCUGAGGAGCGAAAGCGUGGGGAGCGAACAGG